UCCAAUGCAUUAAAUUGUCGAGCGUCUUUAAAAGUUAACUUUUCAAACUUUUUUUAGGUUGGCAAAAACACCAACUCGGUGUUCGUGUCGCCCCCCCUCUGAAGUCUUUCUGUCUCCUCACUGGAUGUUUUUUUUAUUUUGCAUGUGUCAUGUCCCACCUUUCAUCUAAGCACUUAAUACCUUGAAAUGGUGAGCUGCUUCUUUUUUUUUGAUACUGCUUUUUAAAUCUAUUUAUUUUUUAAUGAAUUGUUUUUACCCCCAUGUAGACAUCGAUCUGUUGAAAGCAUGCCUUUUUCUUUAGGCGUCCCAAAAUGCAAAUUGGCUAUUUUAAUGACCAUUUGUACAGUUUAAAAUGCCGCUUUUUCUUUUGUAACUUUCUUUUUUUUCUUUUUCUUUCUCACUCCGAAGAUGCCAAAGCAAAAACCUACUACCUGUUAACUUUGCAGUGAGAUUUUUUUUUCUUUCUGAUGCUGCAGGUCGGCCAGUGUGAGGGGCGUUUCUAUCGGUUUGCUUUGAUUCUUUAUUUUUAUUUCCAGACCUAAGGAUGUCGGUUCCCCGUGUACCGUCGCCGCCCCGGCCGACUUCAGUUCCCCGUGUACCGUCGCCGCCCCGGAGUCUUGUGCCCCGUUCCCUGCACUGUUUCUGCCGUGGCCUGGCCUUUGUAUUCCUCUCGGAACAUAGGCCAUUGAUGAAUUGUUUCCACCCUCGUCUGUCCUGAGCCAUCCUCUCCAGCUGUUUCCACGUCAGCCCCUUCUUCUUGAAUUCCUGCUCUGUGCUCCUUCUCCAGAGAUGGUGUAGAGAUGGUGUGAAGAUUGUGUUCUCAGUGAUGCAGAAAAAGAAGAAUCCUGGAAAGUACUGACUGGAAACGGUAAGGUUUACAAAAUACCUCAUAUACAGCUUCAGAGACUAAAGCCAAUAAAGGGAUCAAAGCCUGCUGUGAUGUCAUCACGCGUCUACACAGCUGUGACGUCAUCACAUUCUAUUUGCUCACUCUCGCUCUACGCGCGCUCUUGCUCUAUACGCGCGCUCUCUCUCUCGCGCGCUCUCUCGCUGCGAU